rnacentral:rRNA from 1 species
GAUGAAUGCUGGCGGCGUGCCUAACACAUGCAAGUCGAGCGGCAGCGCGGUCUUCGGACUGGCGGCGAGCGGCGUACGGCUGAGUAACGCGUGGGAACAUACCCCAAAGUGAGGGAUAACCGCCCGAAAGGGUGGCUAAUACCGCAUAUGAUCUUCGGAUUAAAGGAUUUAUCCGCUUUGGGAAUGGCCUGCGUACGAUUAGAUAGUUGGUGAGGUAAUGGCUCACCAAGUCGACGAUCGUUAACUGGUCUGAGAGGAUGAUCAGUCAGACUGGAACUGAGACACGGUCCAGACUCCUACGGGAGGCAGCAGUGAGGAAUCUUCCACAAUGGGCGAAAGCCUGAUGGAGCAACGCCGCGUGCAGGAUGAAGGCCUUCGGGUCGUAAACUGCUUUUAUGAGUGAAGAAUAUGACGGUAACUCAUGAAUAAGCACCGGCUAACUACGUGCCAGCCGCCGCCGUAA